AGAGUUCGAUUAUGGCUCAGGAUGAACGCUGGCGGCGUGCCUAACACAUGCAAGUCGAACGGAGUCGUUUUGGAAAAUCCUUCGGGAUUGGAAUUCUCGACUUAGUGGCGGACGGGUGAGUAACGCGUGAGCAAUCUGCCUUUAAGAGGGGGAUAACAGUCGGAAACGGCUGCUAAUACCGCAUAAAGCAUCAAAUUCGCAUGUUUUUGAUGCCAAAGGAGCAAUCCGCUUUUAGAUGAGCUCGCGUCUGAUUAGCUGGUUGGCGGGGUAACGGCCCACCAAGGCGACGAUCAGUAGCCGGACUGAGAGGUUGAACGGCCACAUUGGGACUGAGACACGGCCCAG
rnacentral:rRNA from 1 species